GUGUUCAAAUAAAGGAGAGAUGGUUGGCAUCUCCCCUUAUAAGAUCGGAAUUAGCCUUUGGGCUCUUUCAUAUGAACACACGAUUAAGGGUAGAUCGUAUUCAAUUUUUUAU
rnacentral:ncRNA from 2 species